ensembl:ncRNA mir-992 mir-992 stem loop
AUUUUCCCAAGUGCCUGGUAUCAGCAAAGUGUUAUUUUUUAUGUUUAUGUAAAGUACACGUUUCUGGUACUAAGUACUUCGAGAAAGUUACC